UACGUAGGGUGCGAGCGUUGUCCGGAAUUAUUGGGCGUAAAGGGCUCGUAGGCGGUUUGUCGCGUCGGGAGUGAAAACCAGGUGCUUAACACCUGGCUUGCUUUCGAUACGGGCUAGCUAGAGUGUGGUAGGGGAGAUCGGAAUUCCUGGUGUAGCGGUGAAAUGCGCAGAUAUCAGGAGGAACACCGGUGGCGAAGGCGGAUCUCUGGGCCAUUACUGACGCUGAGGAGCGAAAGCGUGGGGAGCGAACAGG
rnacentral:rRNA from 1 species